CCUACGGGAGGCAGCAGUAGGGAAUCUUCGUCAAUGGGCGCAAGCCUGAACGAGCGAUGCCGCGUGAGUGAAGAAGGCCUUCGGGUCGUAAAGCUCUGUUGCGGGGGAAAAAAGGCAGCAUCAGGAAAUGGGUGCUGACUGAUGGUGCCCCGCCAGAAAGUCACGGCUAACUACGUGCCAGCAGCCGCGGUAAUACGUAGGUGGCGAGCGUUAUCCGGAAGGAUUGGGCGUAAGGGGUGCGCAGGCGGUCCUGCAAGUCUGGAGUGAAACGCAUGAGCUCAACUCAUGCAUGGCUUUGGAAACUGGAGGACUGGAGAGCAGGAGAGGGCGGUGGAACUCCAUGUGUAGCGGUAAAAUGCGUAGAUAUAUGGAAGAACACCAGUGGCGAAGGCGGCCGCCUGGCCUGUUGCUGACGCUGAGGCACGAAAGCGUGGGGAGCAAAUAGGAUUAGAUACCCCGGUAGUC
rnacentral:rRNA from 1 species